AGCCUAUUAGCUCAAAUGGUAGAGUAAUGUGUAAUCACACAUCACAUGGAUGUGGGUUCAAGUCCUACAUAGGCUA
rnacentral:tRNA from 1 species